rnacentral:rRNA from 1 species
GACGAACGCUGGCGGCGUGCCUAACACAUGCAAGUCGAACGGAACUUCUUUGAAAGAUUUCUUCGGAAUGAAUUUGAUUAAGUUUAGUGGCGGACGGGUGAGUAACGCGUGAGUAACCUGCCUCUAAGAGGGGAAUGACAUUCUGAAAAGAAUGCUAAUACCGCAUAAUAUAUAUUUAUCGCAUGGUAGAUAUAUCAAAGAUUUAUCGCUUAGAGAUGGACUCGCGUCCGAUUAGUUAGUUGGUGAGGUAACGGCUCACCAAGACCGCGAUCGGUAGCCGGACUGAGAGGUUGAACGGCCACAUUGGGACUGAGACACGGCCCAGACUCCUACGGGAGGCAGCAGUGGGGGAUAUUGCGCAAUGGGGGAAACCCUGACGCAGCAACGCCGCGUGAAGGAUGAAGGUCUUCGGAUUGUAAACUUCUUUUAUUAAGGACGAAGAAAGUGACGGUACUUAAUGAAUAAGCUCCGGCUAACUACGUGCCAGCAGCCGCGGUAAUACGUAGGGAGCAAGCGUUGUCCGGAUUUACUGGGUGUAAAGGGUGCGUAGGCGGCUUUGCAAGUCAGAUGUGAAAUCUAUGGGCUCAACCCAUAGCCUGCAUUUGAAACUGCAGAGCUUGAGUGAAGUAGAGGCAGGCGGAAUUCCCCGUGUAGCGGUGAAAUGCGUAGAGAUGGGGAGGAACACCAGUGGCGAAGGCGGCCUGCUGGGCUUUAACUGACGCUGAGGCACGAAAGCGUGGGUAGCAAACAGGAUUAGAUACCCUGGUAGUCCACGCUGUAAACGAUGAUUACUAGGUGUGGGGGGUCUGACCCCUUCCGUGCCGGAGUUAACACAAUAAGUAAUCCACCUGGGGAGUACGGCCGCAAGGUUGCAACUCAAAGGAAUUGACGG